CUCGUGACACACCUAGUAACACACUGUUGCUCUACACAACUCUCUGUGGUCAGUCUUCUUGGUGUUCAGAGUUGAUCUGAAAAUAUGCCUUUCUUCCAAAAUACAUACUACCCAUUGCAUUGGCCUGUCUUCAGAACUAAGUGGCUGGGUAUGCCAGGGCACACCACUUCCAUGAGCUACCCUACUAGUGGGAUUGUCUUUGGGAACAUGCUGGCCAACUCAGGCGGAAUUCCUGCCUUCAAAUUUCAGUCCCGUCGAGACAGUGUUGACUGGAGGCGGUUCAGUGCCAUAGAUGUGGAACGGGUGGCUCGGGAGCUAGACGUGACCACACUCCAAGAGAACAUUGCCAGUGUCACCUUCUGUAACCUGGACUCGGAGAAGUGCCCACACUGCCAGCAGCCCAUAGACCCGGUUCUCUUAAAGGUCCUUAAGAUGGCACAGCUGACCAUCGAGUACCUGCUGCACUCGCAGGAGUACCUGACUGCCAGCAUGGCUCUGCAGGAGGAGCAGCUGCAGGCUACCCUGGAAGAGCUGAAGCGCACCAAACAGGAGCUGGACAAGCAGGCAGAGGAGCUGAAGGGAGUGAAGGAGGAGAGCCGGAAGCGGAAGAAGAUGAUUGCCACCCAACAGCUCCUCUUGCAGGCUGGGACCAAUAACUACCACAAGUGUCAGCUGUGUGACAAGGCCUUCAUGAACUACUCCUACCUCCAAGCCCACAUUCAACGCAGACACACUGAGGCCAGUGAAGCUGAGAGACAGAAGAAGAAGCAGGUGGAGCAAAUGGAGGAUGAGAUUCAAGAACUAAGAAUGAAGCUGAAAGAGACCCACACCCAGCUAGAAAUUGAGAGAGAGGCUGAGACUCAGCGCAGGGUUCAGGAAGCAGAGAAAGUUCGCCAGAGGGAAGAGGAGGGAAGAAGGGAAUUUGAGAGAUGGAAAGAGGAGGAGAGAACAAAGUUUCAGGAGGAAAUGGACGGCCUGCGGCAGUUGUUCUUGACAGAAUUCAAGGACAUUGCCAGCAAGAACUCUGCCUUGGAAGGGAAACUGCAGGAGCUGCAGGCCAAAAACCUGGUGGCGUCCAAUCUGGGGGUCCUGCGGGAUGAUGACUCUGAUGACAAGCGGCAGUGGGCACUGACUCAGAGAGAGCUCCAGGGCAUGAGGGAGAAGACUGAAUUACAGAAAACAGAAUGGAAGAAGAAGCUGAAGGAGCUUCAGAAGGAGCACCAGAUGGAAAAGGAAGAGUUGAAGAGUGAAAAUGAGAGACUCCGGGCCUUCCUGUCUCAGGACCGACAGAUAGCUGCUGACCGCUUCCAACAGCAAAUGGGCUCGCUCAAUGCUCGGCUCAAAGAGCAGACCACGGUUAUCAGGUCGCAGGAGAAAACAAUCAAGAUACUGUCUGCAAGCAAAGCUGAAGUGACCCAGGAAACGCCCAAGGUACCAGAUCUAGAGGAGUCUUCUGAAGAAGCAGACUUGGAGGACACUCUCGACAUGAAGCAGAGGCUCCUGGAAGCCCUCCGGAGGAAUCCCAACCUGCUGAAGCAGUUCCGCCCCAUUCUGGAGGAGACGUUGGAGGAGAAGCUGGAGAGUAUGGGUGUGAAGAGGGCUGCGAAGGGGAUUCCAGCUCAGACCUAUAAAAAUCUGAGCUCCCUCGUAAGGACUCAGCAGCAGCAGAAGGCCAAGAAAUUUCCAAAUCUCCUCAGCUUGAGGGACAAGCUAGUACGAGAGGUCACCUGGAAAGUCAAGCAGCACCAGAAGGAUGAUGGCAUUUUGCCACAGCAACUUUCAGUAGUCUCAGCCAAAAGCCAGAAAAGCCCACUGUCGUCUUGCCGGGUCGCAUCUGCCCAGCCUAGAAUGCCUCAAGCUGAGUUACAGCCCUAUGCGAAGGAGACGCCCAAACCAACUCCUCGGAGCAAAGCCAGCUAUUCCCACAGCCCAGAAAAGGUUCCCAGAGUAAUGCCACAAAGCAAAGCCAGCAGCCCACGACAUGCUGCCAUCCAGCAGCCAAGCACCCCACCUUUCAGUUCUGAGGAGGACUCGGGGGGGGACCAGGCCAGCCUCACUCCUGUGAAAUUCAAACAUCCCGUCAUCCUGCAGCAAAUGCAAACGCCUUUGAGGCUGACCCAGAAUGAUGAAACCUCAUCAGACUGGUCUGACAUCGAUUCCUCGGAGGGAAAAGCCAGCCCAGCCAUAGGAACCGCUCCAACAGGGACGCUGGUGUCUGCAAUGGCUAAAAAACUGGAGCACACACUGAGCAUGCCAGCAAAGAAGCCUGCUGGUGGGAAAAAACUCCUCCCCGACUUGCCCUCUGACUCUCCUAAAGUGAGUCACUCAGACAAGCAACUCCAGUUUGUGGAUGAGAACAGCGACUUGGAGACUUCCUCCCUUGAAGAGAUCACCCAACUCCUGGACGCCAAGAGCCAGACGAAGCAGCAGCGGCAACCAGCUGUGAGGCACAGUGGGGACUCGACAGGGUCGCAAGGCACCAGCAUCUGGAGUUCCAGCAGCACAAGGGCUGGAGGCUGGUGACUCGCUUGACAGCCCCCUUCGCCGUGCCCUACAAGGGCUUGGAUUUCAGGGCCCAGUGCCAAAGCUGGAAGUUCCUGCCAUGUGGCCACAAGGCUUUGGAAUCCUGCUACUAUAGGAAUAUCAGGCACUGGGCUCCAAUUUAAAAACAACCCACCAGUUUAGAGCAAUCAGAAUGGGAAUCCCUGUCCCAUGGCCCCAAGUGCUACCUAGCUAUGAUGCAUUUUUGCAACGGCUGCCCAGGUGCCCUCUCCACAGUGCGUGCGGAGUUCCUCUGUGUUGCUCUAGCAAGAGAGUUAUUCUGCUCCCAGGCCUUGAUGCAGCAAAGCACUUUAGCAUUGGAAUGGUCCCACUGUCUUCAGUGCAUCGGUGCUUGAUAUUAUGCUUGUGUUUAAGGCCCAGAUCCUGAAAAGUACUUCAGAGGGAGCUAGGUACCUUUGAGGAGCUGGGCUUAACUGCUUUGCUAGAUAAGUGUUUCAGAGGCAACUGCCUGUGUUCAAGGGACACUUUCAUUUUGAAAUUGGGUGUCUUUUUAAAACACUUAAAAAUUAUCCCAGUUAUUAACCCUGCCCCUGAGUCCGCCUGCACUUUUUUGUUGUACAAUCAAAUUUUCAUUUUUUAAAAAUAUGAUUUGUCUCCCUCCUGCUAAGGGAAACUGACUAGACAAGGAGAAACACAAAGUGACUUGACAAAUAGUGCUGUCAAAAGUAAAAAUUUAAUGGAAAAAUAGGAACAAAAGUAGGUUUUCAGAUUGGCAUCACUGAAGAGACCGAAGCAUUGCUUGAAAGAAGAGUAUGUGAAAAAGUGUCAGACUUGGAGGGGGGAUUAAAUGAAUGGUGUCCCUUUAGUAUUCCCAUCAAAAACAUCUGUUAAUAAGUUUAGAACUGGUUUUAGAUAGCAAAAGGACUCUUAAGAGCAUAAAAACGACCAUACUGGGUCAGACCAAUGGUCCAUCUAGCCCAGUAUCCUGUCUACUGACAGUGACGACUGUCAGAUGCUUCAGCGGGAAUAGGGUAAUUAUCAAGUGAUCCCUCCCCUUUCAUCCAGUACCUGUUUCUGGCAUUUGGAGGGUUAGGGACACCAGAGCAGGGGUUGUGUCCCUGACAGUCUUGGCUAGAUUGCCAUUGCUGGAUCUAUCCUCUUCCUGUUAUGUCACCCUCCAUAUGAUAGGAAACAACCAGGCCUUCCUGCUCUAGAAGGGAGUUUGCCUGUGCGCAGCUGAACAGAAAUGCAGAUCAGAGCUUUUCUCCCCUUCUUAUUUUUAAAUUAUUGGAGGACCCUAUCCAAAGAAUCGAUAUAGUCAAUGUAAAUAAGUUACUGCAAAAAAUGAGUAUUGCUAUGUAAAUUUAGCCUUAAAAAUGAAGUAAGUGCCAGGAAAUCUAUACAUUUUUGUACAUCUACUUAUAUGCUGCGUAUGAGAGAAUUUUGACAAUUCAGAUUUCUAACUUCUGUAAAUUUGAAAAACAGGAAAAUCUGUGACAUUUUUACAAUCUUCAUGCACCCUUCCCCUUUUUUCAACCAAGUGUAGAGCUGCUUUAAAUUUUUGUAAUUUCAUUUUUUUUAAAAAAUGAUCAAAUUGACAGCAAAAUUCAUUAUAUUUUCCCACUUUUUUCAACCAAUUUAAUUUCUAGUGCCUCUGUCAUUAGGGAAAAAAUAUUUUAAGCUAACAUUUUACGUGUCUGGUCUCAUCAUCUGUGGAUUGUAAAAGAGUCUGAGUUUAGGAGAAUGGAAAUAGAAAUUCAAUGCAAAAUGACGUUUCUGAGUUUUCAUAAAAUAUUAAAGAUACCUGGUAACCAACAAUCUCAAAACAAGUGCAAACCCUAUUUGAAAACAUGGAAGCAUGUUCCAUACACCACAGCACUAAUUAAUGUUCCCAUUUUAAGUAAGAAUUAUGAUUUAUUUGUAUUAAUUAUUUAUUAUGGCUACAGUGUCAUAGCUAUGCCAGGUACUAUACAAUUACUUUAACAGAUGUUAUCCUUUGGCUGAUGAUCAGCCUAUUUUUGAAUGCUUCCUUCAGUAAAACGUUUGUUUCA